rnacentral:lncRNA from 1 species
CUUUCCUUCCAGAUGUAGACAUCUUGUCACCCGAAGAGCAACCAGAGGACGUAGAAAAUGGACCUGAUCUCAGAUGAGACAAAAUAGAGCAUGUCACUAAGGAGGGGUCAUGCAUUCUGGAAAAUAAUGCAGAGUGGUACAGGCUGAAGCGGAGCGGAGAGGACACUGUUUCAAGAUUCCUGCGCCAGCUCCUUCGUUGUUAUAGAAGUUGGACUAAAUAAAAGGGUAAUCACAAGCGUACAGAUAACAGGCAGGCAGGAAUGUGAAAAUCAGAGAGAAGAGAGAUGUGCACCAGAAGCUGGAGUAAUGUGCUUUGAAGAUGGAGGAAGGGACCAUAAAUCAAGGAAUGCAGACAGCCUGUAGAAGCUGGGAAAGGCAAGGAUGUGGAUUCACUCGAGUCUCUAGAAGAAACGCAACCCCGCCAACACCUUGAUUUGAGGACGUCUGACCUUCAGAAUGAGAAAAUGAUACAUUUGUGUUGUAAGCCACCCAGUUUGUGAAAUAUGUAUCAACAAUUGAAAACUAGUACAUAGUCAAAUACUCAAUCUCUGUUUUUUUUAGCUUAUCAUUUUCAAUCUCUGUCUCCAACCCACAAACCACAUGCAUCAUAAAUAAAUUAAAAUACCAAAA